AACGCACAUUGCGCCCUUUGGUAUUCCGAAGGGCAUGCCUGUUCGAGCGUCAUUGUACCCCUCAAGCAUUGCUUGGUAUUGGGCUUCGCCCCUGUGGCGGUCCUGGGAGACUUCAAGCGUAGCAACAUGUCACGAUCCCGCUUUGGAAGGUUCCUGCUGCGUGCCGGCCAGAUAACCACAAUUUCUUUCAAUGAUUGAACGCGGAUCAGGUAGGGAUACCGGCUGAACUUA
rnacentral:misc_RNA from 1 species